UACGUAGGGGGCAAGCGUUGUCCGGAAUCAUUGGGCGUAAAGAGCGUGUAGGCGGCUUGGCAAGUCUGACGUGAAAGCCCGCGGCUCAACCGCGGAUCGUCGUUGGAAACUGCCUCGCUAGAGUCCGGAAGAGGAGAGCGGAAUUCCUGGUGUAGCGGUGGAAUGCGCAGAUAUCAGGAGGAACACCCGUGGCGAAGGCGGACUCCUCUGGACGGUACUGACGGCUGAGACGCGAAAGCGUGGGAGCGAACAGGAUAAGAUACCG
rnacentral:rRNA from 1 species